AACGAACGCUGGCGGCAGGCCUAACACAUGCAAGUCGAGCGCCCGGAUUUAUCCGGGAGCGGCGCACGGGUGAGUAACGCGUGGGAACAUGCCCUGAAGUACGGAACAACCUGGGGAAACCUUGGCUAAUACUGUAUACGCCCUGAGGGGGAAAGAUUUAUCGCUUUGGGAUUGGCCCGCGUUGGAUUAGCUGGUUGGUGUGGUAACGGCGCACCAAGGCGACGAUCCAUAACUGGUCUGAGAGGAUGACCAGUCACACUGGGACUGAGACACGGCCCAGACUCCUACGGGAGGCAGCAGGGGGGAAUAUUGGACAAUGGGCGAAAGCUUGAUCCAGCCAUGCCGCGUGAGUGAAGAAGGCCUUCGGGUUGUAAAGCUCUUUCAGCGGGGACGAUGAUGACGGUACCCGCAGAAGAAGCCCCGGCUAACUUCGUGCCAGCCGCCGCCGUAA
rnacentral:rRNA from 1 species